GGUUUGUAGCUCAGUGGUAGAGCGCUGGCCUAGCGUGUACGAGGCACUGGGUUCGAUCCCCAGCACCA
rnacentral:tRNA from 1 species